AGAGAGUCAAUCUGGGAAGUUCUGUAUGCCUUUCUCUCAACAGCUAGGGACUCCAGGAAGGUACAGAGCGUGUGUCUACCAUGGUGACUUUGAGAGCUCAGUCUAAAGCAGCGCUUCUCAAAUCUCAAUGUGCCUGUGGUCUCCCUGGGGACCUACAAUGCAGGCUGCCUUUCAGCAGAUCCAGACUGGGGCCCCAAAAGUCUACUUUUCUGACAAGCUCCCAAGAGCCCAGGGCAGUGGAUCUGAAGACCACACUUGGAGCGGCAAAGGUCAGGGACCCCAGGCUGAAAACGAGCAGGGUUUUAGGGACAGGCACA
rnacentral:lncRNA from 1 species